rnacentral:rRNA from 1 species
AUACGUAGGGAGCGAGCGUUGUCCGGAAUUACUGGGUGUAAAGGGCGUGUAGGCGGGCUGUCAAGUCAGAUGUGAAAUUCCCGGGCUUAACCUGGGCGCUGCAUUUGAAACUGAUGGUCUUGAGUGCUGGAGAGGAAAGCGGAAUUCCGAGUGUAGAGGUGAAAUUCGUAGAUAUUCGGAGGAACACCAGUGGCGAAGGCGGCUUACUGGUCCAUUACUGACGCUGAGGUGCGAAAGCGUGGGGAGC